CUUCACCGAGCCCAACCACACUGGCCGGUCCGCGGGCCGGUCCUGACCGUAGGUGGCCAGCAACGCCUGCGCCUC
rnacentral:antisense_RNA from 1 species